UCCAUGUAUUUGGCGGUCUCUCGCACUCUGCAUCUCCUCACGCCGAACCACAACGUGCCCUCUACCCCACGCCUCUCUAUCUCCUCCGCGGCAGUCCUCCACAGCACCUCGCCUCGCCUCCGCUUUUCUUCCAUUGUCGUGGAACGAAGCAUGAAAUGAGCAUUCCAAGGGAAUGACGGUUCCAUUUCAGCUUCAUUCGAGUGAACCAAACACUUCUUAAAUGCAAAAUAUUUGGUGAAUAGUUAGAGAUUUAAAGAGAUCUGUAAUAGUGUAUCUGGAACUUUGAAUGUGUCUGAAGGGAAGGAGCUUAAGCUGCUGCUGUUAUGGAGAGAACAUCUGCAGCUUGUGCCAUGGAAUGGAGCAUUGAUUUCGAGAAGGGCCUUCGAUCAAAGAAGCACGGUCAAUCACAUGAAGCCAUACUGUGUAUCGGGCAAAAACUUGAGAAAUGGGAUAGAGAGCCUGUGAUUAACAAAGCACAAUAUAACAUGUUUGGGUUAAUUCCAGGGGAGGAUAGGCUCUUUGCAAACACAAUCCUGCUUCGUCUUACCGAAGCUUUCAGCUCUGGCGACAAACAGACCAAGCUUUGUGUUGUGAAGGUUUUCUUAUCCCUACUGAGGAGCCGUAAAAAGAGAAGUGAAAAACAUUGUGGGAUUCUAUUGAAGCGUACCGAGAAUCGGUUAGAACUCCUGCGAAGGGUGAAAACUGUUUUUGACUUGGGGGAUGCUGAGUCAAGAGCACUAGCCUUGGUUCUCUUUGGUUGCUGGGCUGAUAUGGCAAAGGACAAUGCUGAUAUCCGGUACCUCAUACUUUCGAGUUUGGUCUCGUGUGAUGUUUUGCAGAUGGAGGCAUCCUUAUUUGCUGGCAGUUGCUUUUCUGAGUUAUCCAAUGACUUUGCUUCUGUUCUUUUGGAGAUACUGGUUAAUCUGGUGACAUCGUGUGAAACAUUGUCAACUGUAAGGCUUGCAGGAGUGCGAGCUUUUGCAAAAAUGGGAUGUUCUUCUUCACAUGCAAGUAAAGCUUACAAGGCAGGUCUAGAGCUGGUGUUAGAUUCUACAGAAGAAGAUUUCUUGAUUGGAAUGCUCAUUUCACUUUCAAAGCUUGCGGUCAAAUCGGCGCACCUGAUUUCUGGACAGGCGAGUUUGCUUUUAUCUUAUCUAACUCAAGAGAAGCCGUUGCAUUUGCAAGCCGCAGCAUUAAAAUGUCUGCACUAUGUUCUUGUCAAAGGAAUGGGUCAUUUUCCUGCAAGUUCCAAUUCAAUCACAACAUUGGUCAGCAUGUUAGAUGAAUCUGAAUUUCCACCAGCCUUGCAAUGUGGAGCUCUACAAAUUUUGCGCAAGGUCCUCUUAUAUAACUUACCUACUAUCCAUGGUUCCGACAUACUUGAGUUUUCAAGGAUUUUAACAAUUCUGGAGAAUGCAACUCUAUCUUCAGUCAUGGCAAAGCGACUCUUAGCCAUCAGGGUUAUAGUAGAUAUAUUGGGCACGUUUGUGGAAAGAAAGGAAAAGGCAUUAGACGGAGUUGAUUCCACAUAUCUGGCUUCAUGGUUGAUCUCAUUUGUCAUAGAUCAGAUUGGCUUGCUUAUUAAGCUUGUACUGGAUCUUCAUCAGCUUGAUUCAGAAAUGGAGCUAGAGGGUCAAAGCUUACUCGGCCUUCUUCUUCUUCUGGUUGAAAAAUAUCCAGAUCUUGGUGGGAUGGUGCUGGAUAAAAUUUGUUUACUCAUAGAAUAUAUAGCGAGUAAUCACAACCAAGCUAUGGGCACAUCAGAACCAGAUUUAUCAGGUCAUGAGAUCAAAGAGGUCAGAGGACAAAAUAGUAAACUUAUUGCAUCAAAGCUUUUGCUUUUUAUACCGAAAAUGGUGGUUGCUUGCCUAGAAAACUUAAAUGAUGCUGGUACUGUUACUACUCAAGUCCUUGAUACGGCCGAGAAAAUUGUAGAACUUUUACGAGGAUGCAGCUUAUUUGAUUGCUUUAUGUACACAGUCUGCACAUUUAUUUUUUAUUCUCAUAUCAAUUACUGUUGCUUAUUUAAGGAGAUAGAGGAAAUUGAUAAUCUUGAUAGAAAGUUGUCUAUUUCUCUGGAGGAUUACCUAGGUCAACGUGAACUUCUUACUCUUGAGUGUGCAAAGAAAAUGAUAGAAAGGAAAGAAUACUGGUCUGCUUACAAACUUGGUAAAUAUGCAGCGUGUCAGGGAACAUGGUUUACUGCUGCUCUUAUAUUCAAGCAUCUUACUACGGUGGUUCAAUCUAACAGCUGUGAUCAGUGGUUAAAGUCCUUGAGUGAGUUUGCUCAUUCAGAAAGGAACGUUCAAUUGCUUAAGUUACCUAACAACAUUGAAAAUCUCAUUGAAGCUUGUAACAGUCUUCAUCUGUCAGAGGAAACAAUGGGAGCCAUGGCGACAUCAGGUCAUGCUUUGUGUUUCCAAAGAUGGUUUUUGUCUCUUAGAUCAAGGGUUCUAGAAUCUGUGGCUGAUAUGCUUAAACUCUACCAUGUUCCUUUAACUCUCGAUAAUUUGGACAAUGACGGACAAAUAAAGGGCAGUAUUGUGGUUGAGGGCCUGAGUUUUUCGCUGGAGGUGACUUCCGUACUCUCUCAAAUAUCUUCUCGGUUGAAUAUGUUGGCAAGAAAAUAUGAUCUAAUUGUCACAUCCUUUAGAGGCAUGGACAAGAGAAGUUUGGAGACAAUUUCAGCGCUCGCACUCUUUUGUUCAUUAUUGGCCUUCAGUACUGGAUUUUCCCUUUUCUUCCCAAAGUUACACAUUGACAAUAUUUUGGGAAAGUCAGAGGAAUAUUUACAUGGCCUGCUAAUACAAGAUUUAGUCUUCCGGUUGCAGCAGGUAGACUGUGAAGCUAGCGCAAAACUUGGGUCGCUGUGGAGGGUAUAUAGCAAGCCCAAGAGCUCUUUCCUCCAUUACAGAAGUCAAAUGUCGAAUGUCAGUUGUGAAGCAAGAUGCCUUCUUACAGUUUGCAGUUAUGCUGUCACAGGGGUGGUUGCCUUGCAAAAUGAGGCAAAUAAUGCACACGAUGUUCAGAUUCUACAUCGAGUUACCAAGUAUGGUUUGCAACUUCUGUUGGAUAUAAUAACAAAAUCAAUGUCCAUCCCUUUCCUGAUGCCUAAUUACUUCUUUCGAGUAAGGCCAUGCAUUUCGUCGGAGCUAUUUGCCUUAAACAGCGACACCAGAAGCCAAGAGGGGAUAUCAGUCCCGCCAGGCUUCCAUCUGUCACUAGACCUUUGUCUUCAGUUGAAAAAUAUUCUGCCAGAUCUUCAGUUGAAGAAAUUAUAUUGCAUCCUUUCUUGUAGAAUGUCUUUUCAGGUGCCUUAUCCAGAAGCAAAUAAGGGACAAAGGCGGUUGGAUUAUCGAGAUUGGGAAUCUGAUGACAUGAUAUAUUUAAAUGAUAAGUUAUUACGGAAUGUCACAGAGGAUACAAAUAAGUUUAGCAAUACAAGGCAUAGACAUGGUGCUGGUGAUCGUGGAGCUGUGGAUGUAUAUGUGUGUUUCGAACCUAACGAGAAAGGGCAAGGGUUCUCUACUUGUUUGCUUGACGUUUCUGCUUUUCCUCUGGGUAGAUACAGAAUCAAAUGGCAUAGCUGUUUUGUGGAUAACAAAGGUUCUUACUGGAGCCUUCUCCCUUGGAAUGCUGGUCCGGUCUUUACUGUACAGAAAAAUCUUCACAAAGAUUAGCGGUCUCAAGGAUUCACAUUCAGAGCAAAGCGGGAAAUUGCAUUCCGUCCAAUGAUAGACAAACCAACUGGUGGAGCGCCCGUGACCACAUACUUUGCACUGAAACUGCUGAUCAGGCCCCAGAGCUUUGAUACUGAGAUGGUAUUGAGCACGGAUGGGGUUGCAGAUCCCUUUUGGCAACUCAAUACAUGAUUUCUCCAAGAAGAACGUGCAUGAAUAACAAAAUUUCCCUAGGUUAUGAUUGCAUAUAGUGCAGCCCCAUCGAAAUAGAGCUGUCUUAAUCGGGAUCAAGGGAUGUGGUCGCUGAAAUGUUGAAUCAGAGGCUCGCAGUCAAUUCGCUCCUGGUCUAUAAAAACUCUGUACAUAGUAAUUGCAUAAUCAUAGUCCAUUUGAAAACAACACUCAGAGCUGUGGCAAAUGAAUCCGUGACAGCUACUUUUACAGGCAGAACAAUCGUACAACUCAUCUCUGCGGAGGGAGGGAGAUAGAUAGGGUCUAGGCCAGGGGAAAAGGAUGAAGGAUUUCUUGUGGAAAAUAUCACGUGAUUUAUGGAUGAAGGAUUUGCAUUUUAUGCAGACAUAUAUUGAACCCUCAAUUGUAUGGUUGGCCCAAAUAAAGCGCAUUUAAAAUGUACGCUGAAAUGAUAACACUGGGAACAGUGGAAGCUCAAGUCGGUGCAUGCCAGCCCUCACGCGUAGCAGUUCAAACUUCUCCGAUGGUUUUUUUGCUUUGCAGAAAGUGUAAGAAGUUGUGGGUAAAAAGGGUGUCAUUUCUCCUGGGAACUCAGCACAUGACAUGUGGAUGAAGUAUUUGCAUUUGAAACAAAUUACAUGAAUUCCACAACGAGCAACAAAACAUGACAUCUAGCUGUAUGAAAGGGAGUGCAACUUUGAACACGGGAUGCCAGUGGGAAGGAUGUUCAAUAUGUUGUAAAAGAGUUUCGUUGUCUGGUAAGGCUUUCAUGUAGAGCAAGAAAUGUCCAAGCCAAACUUAUGCUCGAAAUGCAGAGCAAUAUAUGUCCAAGUCAAUCUUGCACUGGAAGAAAUUCCGACGUACCCAAAAAAAAAAUCUUACACUAGAAAACAGUGGUAGGUGAAGCCAAUGAACCCCCAGGUUGCAGGCGUUGCACAGGAAUUCUCUGGAAGAGUAAGGUGUCUUUGCAAGGGUGAGAGCAUGUGUUGGGUGGAACUGGUGUUGGGAUUUAUUUUGGCAAGUCGGAACAUGAUUUUUGAAUGAUGAAUUUUGCAUUGCCAGCAAACACAUAUGCCGAGUCCUCGAUAAUUCUUUGGCAUGCUAAAUUAUAGGAGGUCCAACCCGAUAGCGUGACUGCAAUCGAAGGAUGCUGAUGAGAAAAAUGUUCGACGUGCUGCUUGUCAACUUCACAGUCUGUGGAUGGCCUCAUCUUUGAGCAAGAUAUUCACGUCAAAUGUCCACUCUGAACAAUGGUAGGUGAAUGCAGUGUCUCCUUACGUACAUAGAGGAAUCAAAGCAAAUUUCAUCCAACAAUAUGGUGUCUAUUAGGCAAUUUUAAUUUUUCACAUAACAUAGUCUCACUCACCUUGAAUGAAAUCACUUAAGUUUGUAUUAAGUGGUUCAGACCCAUUCAAGAUAAAUAUAUCUUCUGUAUUACAUCGCUUGAUCCAAGGGAACACCCUUUGAUUCCAACUGGAGUACUUAUUUUUUGCUGGCCUUGUUUCGUGAGAAUGAGAAAGGCAAAUUGCUUUUUA